GGACGAAGCAAAGGAAACGGAUCAUGGUUUUGCCAUCUUGAUGACUGCCGUUCUGUGUGUACACAUCUGGAAAUGUGCUAGUCACACCAUUUAUUUAACUCCUAGAACUUUAACAAACUCUGCUGUCAAGUUAAAGUAACUGUUCAUCUUCUAAGAGAUUCACUCAGGGCUGGCCAGGUCAGCUAGAACACUGAGUCCUUGCAGAACAAACUGCUACUGAGAUGGAGACCCCUUCCCCAGCCCACAGCCGGUAAAAAACCAAACACAACUGGAAGACUGUGGACGUCACUGCAUUUGGGAUGGAGGGAGGAGCAUCCAGCUAGUGGUCCACAAGGAAACAGCAUCUCUCCAAAACCAGGGACACGGCAGCAGGCCCGACACGACCUCCACAACCUCGGCCGCAGCAGGCAUCGAUCAGGGGCCUCUGCAGCGUGCUUGGCCACUGCGUGGUGGCAGGAAGACUGGACCCUCGAUUCACUUUGCUUCUGGACGUCCUGGUGGCUAAUGAGAUGGUAGCAUUUCCUCCACUGGUAAGCACCAGCAGCAGGGCACUGUUGAGAGGACAAUGGUCCUUCCACGCCGGCUUCAUACUCCCCUGUGGACUCCCUACACCUCCAUCCACUGACAGCCUGAGAAUGGUCAUAUGUGUGCACACUAGACAAGCUAAAGCUACCUCGCUGUGGGUAAGACGGUGGACUCUGAUGUCGUAUCCAAGUUCAAAUCUCUACCCACUGUGUCCCUGCUGUGAUGGGGAAGUUGGUCUCCCCGUCUUCGCCAUGGGAGCACUGUCAUGCUGACCCCGCUGUGCUGAUGUGGUAAGUGCUGAGAUAACACCAAGUCAAGGACAUGGCCGAGCAUCUGGUGCUUGGAAGAGCCAGAAGGACAGUGGACAUUAGGGUCCUCACUAUCAUCGUCCUGCCCCCACCCCACCAUCCGUUUGCCCUUCUGAUGGGCGCCUGCUCCUCUCCUGACAGGUGCAGCCACUAAGCAGCCCUGUCAGGAGGUGGAGGGCAGGAGGAAGGAGUGCCAAGAGUGUUCUCCUCCCAGGCCACCCCCGACUCAGGGGCACAGCCAAUCCCAGUGCGGGGCAUCUCCUCCGGCUGAGCUCCCGUGGGACAGCUUCACAGUCCUGCUCCCACGAGGGACAUCCCUGCACCCCACUCUAGCACUUGCUGGUCUCUAUGUGACCCCCUGCUAAGAACCUGCUUCGAGUUCUUAGCUCUUCCACACUCAUGUGAGAAAAUGCUCCGGAUUAAUCUCUUCCUGCCAUGAGCACUCAGGAUGGCUUUCUGAUUGGACCCGAAUCAGUACUGGGCGUAGUCUUCUCUCUAGAAACCAAAGGUCCUGCAGUCUUGAAGGUCUCCAUCCCCGGAGAGUGAGGAGAUGCCUGCUCAUCCCAAGCCGCUCAUGCCGGGACAGGAUGUCCUCUCACCACUUUCUCUCACGUGCCCUCACAUCCAAGCCCUGUCCCACUCGCGCCAGGCCACAUCUGCAGCAAAUCCACUUCUCUGCAACAUGGUGCUCCAGCCCCAGCCACAUCCUUGCUUCCUACCAGGCCACACCAGCUGCCUCCCCGCUGUCUCCCCACCGCUGGGCUUCCCCUGCACCCACGUUAUAUUUAAUACAAGAGCCAGGUGUUCUUUCCAACACCAAAACCAGGUGAGUUUACUGGCUGAGCCCUUCCUGGUCUGUCGCGGACGUGGUCCAGGACUCCCUCCCCACUGUGUUUCUCCCCUCCUGGGCUCCUUACUCACUAAGCCCCCACACCUGGCCCAGGGCAGGCACCGUUAGCAGAGCUGAAGGCUCAGCUUGUGGGCUUGGGGGCUGGCUCAGAAAAGGCAACGUGAGCACACCCACAUCUUUGCCUAUUUCAGAAGAGGAAUUCAGGGCUUUGCAGCCUAAAGCCAUCAGACCCAAGAGGACAUCCACAGGGAUUCUUAUCCUUGAAGACGCAGAAGCCCCACCUCAUCGCUUGAGGCAGUGAAGGGGAAACCCACCUGCCAGGCACCUGCAGGCUUCCGCUGGCCCCCUUCACUCCCCUCUCCAUCCAGUAGUCUUGAGUUCUAAGGAUCCUCACAGGUCAUAGCUCCAAGCACUCAAGAGAAUGGAGGUGUGGGGAUCCCAGGCAAAGAAACCACCUGGUGUCACUGAGAGAAGCAGAGGAGGUGGGCAGGGGCCCGGAGUCCCAGACGAACAGACAACCGCGAGGAUGUGGGGUCUGAGUGCUCUCCUCAUGAUCAAACACACUAAACUGUCACCAGAAGACUCCAUUCUUAGGCCUGGCUGUGUCACCAACCAGCCAGGUCACUAGGCAGGUCUCCCUGCCCCUCUGGACACAGCUGCCUCUCCUGGCAGAGCUGUGGGUCGAGUUGGAAGCUCACACGGCCCCUUUUGGCUCUGACACUCCACUGUCUGUGAGUCACUCUGGGUUCCGGUGGUUUGUCACUGGGGCUCACAGGGAAACCAAAGAAAGAACAAUCGCAGCCCAGGGUAGCGAGUUCAUGGGCGCCGGGUCCAGGGCUUGCGUAAGGAGGCCCAGUGACCUUCAGCACCGCGGUGACUCAAGGCGGUACUUUUCCACUGCUGGCAGGCACAAGCCCUCUAACGUGUGGCACCGGCACCUGCAUUAAAACAAUGUUUUGAUGAUGUUGCAGGGCUUAGAUCCACCCUCAAACAUGAAAACAAAUAAGAGUCCGGGCCUGAUGUUGUCGGAGCAAUUCCCUGGAUUCCUUGUCGAGUCGAGUCCUGCACGGAGGGACGGUCAGGGCUCGCUGGUUACCCGGCCUUGAGUCACCAGCAGCCUUCUCCCAGAGCCUCUGAUUCAUGGGCAUGUUAUUUGGGGAAAGAGUCACAAAGCCAUCACCGGCUCCUUCCUCUUGUUCCUCCCAGCUCCACACUUGGCCAUCACGGAGUGUUUUUGUUUCGCUGCAGUAAUCCAGAUAAGCCCUAAUUGUUUUCGGAUAUCCCAAAUGAGAGGCAUUAAACCAUCAGAAUUUUCUGCAUUCAAUGUGUAGGACUAAGUGGCAAUUCCUUACAGAAUGGGCUUAGGUUCCAGAUUCAUCUGAAAACAAAACACUUCUAGCUCUGACCCCUGCGGAACAAUAAAAUCAUGUUUUCAGUGUUCCCCUAGGGCCUGGCCAGAUCCUCAGGUAUCCUCAAAGAAUCUGUCCUCCACAUCAUUUCUGCUCCUGAAGUCGGGGCAGACGGGUUCACCAGCCAACAUCCUCUACCGAAUCCUGGUUGACCAGCACACUUUUCCUCCCACUGUUUGUAGGUAGAACUUUCCUAGGCCACGCUCACUCUGCUGGCCGUGGACUAUGCUCUUUGAUGGCAAGGGCAGUCACGUGAGCGUGAUGCACGGGGCCUCUGCCAUCAGACCCCCCUGUUCCAACCCUGGUGCCCCUGUUCUGCCUGAGGUCAGCAAAAUGGGGCACUCACGAAUCCUACUUUAGAGGGUUUUCUUCUGAGUACUUAGUGAGUAUUCAUGUAGAGAAAUUAGCCCAGCUCCUUCCCCACAAGGACCUUAACAAUCCUGUCCAUGAUUGUCAUCCAGGACAAACUGCUGCUUACUUAUAACCAGAAGAGUUAGAACUCGUUCUGAACCUCCUGAGGCCAAACUGCCACAAAAUUCCAAACAAAUAAAAUGUGAAUGAAUAUUUGAAGACAGGGUCUUGGAAGCCCGACUCUUUAAGAGCUUGCUUUUAAGUGAAAUAUGUACACACACACACACACAAAGUGGAGAGAGGGGGUAAAGCAAAGAUGUCCUUGAAACUUAAAUCAUGCGGCUUUUCCGUCCAAGAAAAACACAGGUCUUCCCUUGACAUUUGGAGGCAGUUCCUUGUCUCUAUUCCCCCACCCUCUUCUCUGGCAUUUCUUUGAGAAUAGACUGAAGAAAGGGGCUGUAAUGCAGCUAUAAAUCCAGGUUGUAUGCAUUAGUAGUAUUUGGAGCAGGGGGGAUCUCGAGAGAAAGAAUCCUGCAGAACUGUGGGCCCAGAUGAAUAAAAAUGUCUUUCUAACUGUUUGGCUACCAAACCAAAUAGAAAUUAAAUGUUCACCCUCCCAGAUCUUCCACUUUACUUCGAGAAGCUUUUUGUUGCUCCUGUUUUGGAACCCACCACAUUACGUUCAAAUGGCACACAAGUGGGUCCCACUCAUCGAAUACCGUGACCCUGUGUAUUCACUGAAGGUCAGCUUCACAUAACUCCGAAAUAGCAACACCGAAAAUCUGAAAUGAUGGCAUCUGAGUUAUUUUAUAUCAAAAGUUACACUUCUUCUUGGAAUUGAAGGGGAAAACAUCAAUAGAUUCAACAUAAAAACAUAAAAUUUUGUACAUCAUCAAAAUGUAACAUUUAAAAAAAUUAAAUAGGAAUCUUGAGAAGUGCUUGUAAUACAUGUAGUAAAGAAAGGUGAUACGCCAAACUACAAAAGUUACAGAAAAAAAACCACUAAGAGGCAGACAGAAAAAUAGAAAAGGCAGCUAAAUGGACAGAAAAGGAAAUAAAAAUCGCUAAUAAAAAAUUAACUGCAUUAGUAUAAAAGAAGUACAGUUAAAAUAGCAAAGUGGUGUUUUUGCCUAUCAAAUUAGCCAGGGAAUGUUAGGGGUGUGUACACAGCCCUACAGAGGGCUGGUAAGGUAUGCUGGCGGGAACAUAAAUUUAUUUAACCUUUCUGCAAAAUAAUGGACUCACAUUAAUCACAGACCUUGAAACAACACCCUUGCACUUUGGUACACUAGCUCUAGUGAGAGUAAUUUAUCUGAAUGAACCAAGGAAAAAUUGUUAAUAAAAACAUAGUAUUUUGUUGACCAAGACAGGUAUCAAAACCUCAUUUGUAAUAGCAAACAUGUGAAAUCAAAAAAGCAUACCCAAAUCAUGAAAUAUUAUUAAAUCACUUUAAAACCCUGCUUACAAAUAAUCUUUAAGAGUAGAGGAAAAUUAUAUGACAAUACCAGAAGUAAAAAUAGAAAAGGAAGAAUAUUAAAUUUUAAUAGUCUAUAAGCUCAACCAUUUAAAAAUAGGAAUAGGGAAAAGACUGAGGGGA
rnacentral:lncRNA from 10 species